AUUGUAGCUUGCUACAUGACCUAGCGGCGGACGGGUGAGUAAUACUUAGGAAUCUGCCUAUUAGUGGGGGACAACGUUCCGAAAGGAGCGCUAAUACCGCAUACGCCCUACGGGGGAAAGCAGGGGAUCUUCGGACCUUGCGCUAAUAGAUGAGCCUAAGUCGGAUUAGCUAGUUGGUAGGGUAAAGGCCUACCAAGGCGACGAUCUGUAGCGGGUUUGAGAGGAUGAUCCGCCACACUGGGACUGAGACACGGCCCAGACUCCUACGGGAGGCAGCAGUGGGGAAUAUUGGACAAUGGGCGCAAGCCUGAUCCAGCCAUGCCGCGUGUGUGAAGAAGGCCUUAUGGUUGUAAAGCACUUUAAGCGAGGAGGAGGCUUACCUAGCUAAUACCUAGGAUAAGUGGACGUUACUCGCAGAAUAAGCACCGGCUAACUCUGUGCCAGCAGCCGCGGUAAUACAGAGGGUGCAAGCGUUAAUCGGAAUUACUGGGCGUAAAGCGCGCGUAGGUGGCCAUUUAAGUCAAAUGUGAAAUCCCCGAGCUU
rnacentral:rRNA from 1 species